UACGUAGGUGGCAAGCGUUAUCCGGAUUUACUGGGUGUAAAGGGCGUGUAGGCGGGGAAGCAAGUCAGAUGUGAAAACCAUGGGCUCAACUCAUGGCCUGCAUUUGAAACUGUUUUUCUUGAGUACUGGAGAGGCAGACGGAAUUCCUAGUGUAGCGGUGAAAUGCGUAGAUAUUAGGAGGAACACCAGUGGCGAAGGCGGUCUGCUGGACAGCAACUGACGCUGAGGCGCGAAAGCGUGGGGAGCAAACAGG
rnacentral:rRNA from 1 species